UGCCUAAACUCGUUGGUUCCCAACGGGCAUGGCACGAAAUCCAUAGCAAUAGAGACGGUCUUCCGACCAGCACUCAUUGCUAUGGUAUGCGCUUGAAAGGGUGCAUGGCUAAUUCCGAAAGGAAAAGGCC
rnacentral:sRNA from 12 species